GUCGCUGCCCGGGACUGAGCCGUUUCGAGAAGAACAGGGACCGCCGUUGAAGGGCCCUCACGGGCUUUUCUCUGGUAGAAACUGUUUUAAUCGCAGUGGCUUGAACCGGGCAA
rnacentral:rRNA from 1 species